UACGGAGGGUGCAAGCGUUAUCCGGAUUCACUGGGGUUAAAGGGUGCGUAGGUGGCCAACUAAGUCGGACGUGAAAUCCCUCAGCUUAACUGGGGAACUGCGUCCGAUACUGGAUGGCUUGAGUUUGGGAGAGGGAUGCGGAAUUCCAGGUGUAGCGGUGAAAUGCGUAGAUAUCUGGAGGAACACCGGUGGCGAAGGCGGCAUCCUGGACCAACACUGACACUGAGGAGCGAAAGCCAGGGGAGCAAACGGG
rnacentral:rRNA from 1 species